rnacentral:misc_RNA from 1 species
AUGUCACCUCCAGGACCACAUGGUGUGAAGAAUGCUUACUGCUUGCUCAAUUUUGGGGAUAGUAUUACGACUGAUCACAUUUCACCAGCUGGUAGCAUCCACAAAGACAGUCCUGCUGCCAGAUACCUUGUGGAACGUGGUGUUGACAGAAGGGACUUUAACUCUUAUGGAAGUCGCCGUGGUAAUGAUGAGGUGAUGGCAAGGGGCACCUUUGCCAACAUUCGCAUUGUCAACAAACUGUUGGGAGGAGAAGUUGGACCUAAGACAAUUCAUAUCCCUAGUGGAGAGAAACUCUCUGUUUUUGAUGUUGCCAUGAGGUACAAAAGUGAGGGACAUGAUACAAUUAUCCUGGCUGGUGCUGAGUAUGGGAGUGGCAGUUCUCGUGAUUGGGCUGCCAAGGGUCC